UACAGAGGUCUCAAGCGUUGUCCGGAAUUACUGGGCGUAAAGGGCGCGUAGGCGGCGACUCAAGUUAGAUGUGAAAGUCCUGGGCUUAACCUGGGGACUGCAUUUGAUACUGGGUUGCUUGAAUUCGGGAGAGGAUAGCGGAAUUCCCAGUGUAGAGGUGAAAUUCGUAGAUAUUGGGAAGAACACCGGUGGCGAAGGCGGCUAUCUGGACCGACAUUGACGCUGAGGCGCGAAAGCGUGGGGAGCAAACAGG
rnacentral:rRNA from 1 species